GCGGGCGUCGCCUAAUCUGGUAGGGCGUCGGACUUCAGAUCCGAUUCGGUUUGCCAGACCGAUGUUGCGGGUUCGAAUCCCGUCGCCCGCU
rnacentral:tRNA from 1 species